rnacentral:rRNA from 1 species
AUAAUAAAUUGAUUUUUAAUUAAAAUCUAGGAUGAAAGGAGUAAUGAAAUAAAUACUUUAUUAUUUAAAUAAAUAAAAUUUAAUUAUUAAGUAAAAAGGCUUAAAUGUUAUUUUUAGACAAGAAGACCCUAGAGAAUUUAAUAAAUUAAUUUAUUUUAUUAUAAAUUUUAAUAAUUAAAUAAAAUUUAUUUUAGUUGGGGCGAUUAAUAAAUUUAAUAAACUUUAAUUAUAUAAAUCAAUAAUUUUUGAGUAUAAGAUAAUUAAAUAUUAAGAAAAAUUACCUUA